GUGGAUUAGAUACCCUGGUAGUCCACGCCGUAAACGAUGUCGACUAGCCGUUGGCCUCCUUGAGGGGUUAGUGGCGCAGCUAACGCGAUAAGUCGACCGCCUGGGGAGUACGGCCGCAAGGUUAAAACUCAAAUGAAUUGACGGGGGCCCGCACAAGCGGUGGAGCAUGUGGUUUAAUUCGACGCAACGCGAAGAACCUUACCUACUCUUGACAUCCAGAUAACCUUGUAGAGAUAUGAGGGUGCCUUCGGGAAAUCUGAGACAGGUGCUGCACGGUUGUCGUCAACU
rnacentral:rRNA from 1 species